GCAUCCGUAGCUCAGCUGGAUAGAGUACUCGGCUACGAACCGAGCGGUCGGAGGUUCGAAUUCUCCCGGAUGCA
rnacentral:tRNA from 1 species